UACGUAGGGACCGAGCGUUGUCCGGAAUCAUUGGGCGUAAAGAGCGUGUAGGCGGCUCGCUAAGUCUUGCGUGAAAUCUCGGGGCUCAACCCCGAGCGGUCGUGAGAAACUGGCGGGCUAGAGUGCGGGAGAGGAGAGUGGAAUUCCUGGUGUAGCGGUGAAAUGCGCAGAUAUCAGGAGGAACACCGAUGGCGAAGGCAGUGGGCUGGGCCGGCACUGACGCUGAGGAGCGAAAGCGUGGGGAGCGAACAGG
rnacentral:rRNA from 1 species